CUAAUUACCCCCCUCGUACGCCCGCGCACCCCGCACCCUCGAAAACACACGACUGCGUAAGCAUUAAGCAGACACCGUUCCUGAAAUUUUCAUAUACUGUCGCCAUUCAUCCCGCUCUUCUAGGGUUUCUUCGUUUUUUCUCCAUAAUCUCCACGCUCUUUCUCAUUCACGAUCACCAAACCUACCUUAAUCUAUUGCUUAAACCUAGAAUUUGAACUCCGUCACUCUGCUCAUGGACGCGCUCUUUGUUCAUGCCGUUUCUGCGCUUUUUCCUUCCGAUUCUCUUAUCACGCCAUCUCCCUCCUUGAAGAACACGAAGCGGUUGAGAUCUCUCCGUGCCGCCAACAAGACGCGAUGCGCGAGAGAAUGAUUUCGUAAUUAUGUGGUUCAAGCAGGGUAUCCGAGUCGACGAUCAUCCUGGUAUUGUUACCUACCACGCCGUGCGUCUUCGAUCGCGGAUUAUUUCUCGUGCGUAUGCUUCUUCUUCUGUAUCAUAUUCCUCUUUUUGCUUGUUUUUAGGUUUUUUCAUUGUUGUUCAAUUGUUUUUAGGUUUUCCUUUGUAGCAAAAUCUAUACCUCGAAUUUGAACUUCGUUACUGUGCUCAUGGACACAUACUCCUUUCAUGCCGUCUCUUGCUCUUCUUUCCUUCCGAUUCUCUCAUCACUCCAUCUCCCCUUGAAGAACACGAUGCAGUUGUGAUCUCUCCGCGCCGCCAACGAGACGCGAUGCGCGAAAGAAUGAUUUCGUAAUUAUCUGGUUCAAGCAGGGUAUCCGAGUGGACAAUCAUCCUGGCCUUGUUACCUAUCAUGCCGUGCUUUCUCUUCACGUCUUCGAUCGCGGAUUAUUUUUUUAAAAUUGUUUUUAGGUUUUCCUUUGUAGUCAAAUCUUUACCUCGAAUUUGAACUUCGUACUCUCAUGUACACACUCUUGCCUCUCUCUUGCACGCGCUCUCUCCUUCCGAUUCUCCCAUCUCUAUCUUCUUCCUAGGAGAACACGAUGAGGUUGAUCUCUAUUCGCGCUGUCGAUGAGAGGUGAUGUGCUAAAGAAUGUCUUCGCAAUUCUAUCUCCGAGUCGAAUAUAAUCCAGGCCUUGCAGCCACCGCCGCCUCCUAGUAUCAGGCAGUGGUUACUCAUUACGUCUUCGAUCGCCGGAUUCUUUCUAGUGUGUAUGCUUCUUAUGUUCGUAUUUUCUCUCGUUUUCUCUGUUGGUCAAUUCUUCGCAUAGGCAUAUUCCUAUUCUCUCUCUCCAGUUUUCUCUGUCGGUCGAUUGUUUUUUGGUUAUUCUGUCUUGCCUACUCUAAUCUCUUGUUGAAACGUACAAUUUAUACUCCGUGACUACUUUCAUGGACGCACUCUCUGUUCAUGACUUAUUGUACGCGCUCUUCACCAUUCCGAUUCUCUCGUCAAUCCUCCUCACUUUUCGAACAGUAUGCAAUUGUUUAAUAUCCGGCCUGGCAAAGAGAGGCUAUGCACGCUUCGUAACUCUCUUGUUCAGGCGGGGGUUCCUCUCUAAUUGCAUGUGAUCUGUGCUUCUUCUGCUGUCUUAUAUUUUUUUAAAAAUUUUGUUCUCCCUUUGCUUUGUUGCAGUUCAAUUGUUUUGGAAUUGUGUGUAUAUUACUGGUUUUUCCGGCCAACCAUGGCUGAAUCAAAUUUGUAUUCAUUGAAAUGAAACUGCAUUUGUAAUUUUGAACUUGAAAAUUAUAGUUUGGAUUUUGGAAAAGAAAACAACACUCUUAAGGGCGGAGAAAUAAUUUAUAACAGUUAUAAUACAGGCACGCAUGUGUAUUGCGAUGAUUGAGUUUUGACACAUUAAUGUAAUGUCUUAUUAACUCUCCGUGUUUGUUUUAUGCUUGAACAUCUGAUAAUUUUGAAUGAAAAGAUUAUUAGGCAAUGAAAAAGUUACAACUAGCUGCUUGGCAGUCUAGGUUUUUGGCAUUUGAGCAAUUCGCUCAUUGUUGAUGAGUUGGAACCAUGCUUAGAAAUUAUUUUAUGUGUGCAGUGUGCAUUUGAGUUCUUUUGCUGGCUUCAUUUAUACAAUAAACUCCGUUAAAUUUUAUAAUCAUGAUAUGUAUGUUCGUUAACUACAUAGAUAAGUUCCUAUGUCGUUUUAUGUUUGUUAUCCUUAAUGUCCUUUCACUCAGGUAAAUUCUUUCCUCCUGAGGCAGAAUCUCAGAAUUUUAUAUCACCCCUAUUGGAACUCUAGCGGAUGCUGCUGAAGCAGAAAUCAGACAAAGACCUCUUCCCUCAGCUGGAAUGAUUUACAUCCAUAGCUAAGGUGAGCAUCAUUGUUUUCACUUGAUGAUGAUACCUUGUAUUCUGUUAAAAGUGGUAUGAUCUCAAUAUGAUGUUAAGAAAAGGUUUAUCCCCUAAUGAAAUGUCUUCAAAUGUGUGGAAAAGAGUUGAGCUAUCAAUGAUUCCCAAAUUCAGUCUACUUUGAGCCAUUUGGUGAGUUAGUGUUCAGGCAUACAACAAUGUCACAAUAUGAAAAUAUAGUACCUUAAUGUGAGGUGCCAGGUGCAAUUGCAUGCGCCCAGUGUAUAUGUGCUUUGUUUGCUCUCUGGAAUGAUAUGACAGGCUAGGCCAGGUCAUGAAAAGGCAUAGCUUGCUCAUAGAGGAGAGAUGGUUGGCGGCUCCUUGAUAGGGAUGAGAUUUGGCUUCAGCUCUUUUUGUUAAUAUGCAUACGUGUAUCCACGCUAAGGCUAUUUGGUUUGGCAGAUCUUUUAACCAAUUUUUCCCAGAGGAACCGGGGCCUUCUUUUAGAACCUCAAAACACAACCGGCACUGGCUUAGUGGGCUUUAAAGGCUGUAAUUUCAAGCCUUCAAGAACUUGCUAAAGGAAAAAACAUAGCCAAAAACUAUUUUAUAAAAGGGACGUUUGUGCGAAAUCCUAAAGGAAGCUUUUCAGUUCUGGGAAAAAAAGGGAAUUGUAGGACCAUUUUGUAGGGAGAGAAAAGAACACAGGAGGAUGAAAAAUGGCCACUUUGAAUGAUUGGAAUUAUUUUAUAACUGAUUUCAUUUGUGAUUUGUUGUGUUGGAUAAUGUGCACUUUUAAUUUACAAUUUUCUUUUCUUUUUUUAAUUUGGUGCCUGAUAGAGCAAAUUGCCUAGCACCUUGGGUUAUAGGGGGUCUUGGUGCCCAAGUACCAAUUCUGCCUAUAAUUGUCCUAUAAUGACUGAAGCUUGCUUCAGGUGCUUCCAUUUGUUCUUUAUAAUGUAAUUUUAUUUGAUUCACUUUGUUGGAUGAGGCAUACUUUUAAUUUAAAAUUUUAUAUUCUUAUUUUUCACGUGAUUUUAUUUUUGAUUUAUUUUGUUGCAUAAUUCAUACUUUGAUUUAAAUUUUUCUAUAUCUUUAAUUUGGUGCCUGAUAGGGCAAUUGCCCAGCGACGGGGUGAUAGGUGGUCUUGGUGCCUUAACUACCCCUUGUGCUUACAUUGACACUUUUGGAGAUGAUUUGGACCCCAUAAAUUUUCAUCUUCAUGAUCCUUUCAACUAUUCUUUUACUAAGGAGGUCUUAGUAUGCGACUCUGACUUAUGUUUAGAGCUGGACAUCUGUUGAAUCAUAGCAGUUCUCCCCGCCAGAACCCAAAUAUCCGCUAGUUUAUGCUCCUAAACCAUGUGUAUGUAUCUUUUGACUAUUGUUGACUGAACAAUAUGCUCUGCGCUGUGGUCAUAAGAGAGAAUUUAUGAAAUUAUAGAUGGAUAACAAUGGGUGUUUGGUGAGAAAUAAUCCAAUUUGAUCGCACGUGUUGGGUCUAGUUUUUCUUAAUUUGCUAGCCUGUGUUUCGGCCCAUAAAGUUAUCAAGACCUGACAAUCGUCCGAGGUUUUACAUCUGAUGUAUGGACUGUUUAUAUUUAUCUUUCUUUUAGCCAUUUAUAAUUGCUUUGAUCAUUUUUUUUUUCAAUAAAACUUGCACAUAAUAUGAUAAUCUACUAAGAUCAUUUGACCUAUACGAUAGCAGAGAUAUUAAUGUGGUGGUGAUUAGGGUUGAAAAACUGCUAGUAGGAUAUACUAAAAGGAGAAGACGAAGACUUAGACUUAAAAAUUCUUGAAUUGAAGUAAUAACUUAUUAGAAAGGGUGUUGUCUCUGUGUGAUUAAUGAAGACAGUAGCUCUUGAUAAGAAGUUUGAACUCAUGGCAAAGGAGAACUGUAGUAUGGAUCCUCACUAAUUUUUCAUAUGUAUUCUUGUCGACCUAAAAUAUUGUUUGAGAUAAGGCUUUGAUUAUGAUUGCGAUUGGUAUUUGUUACAGAAUGACACUUGGAUGAUUAUCCAUGUCUUAUGCCUCAUAUGUUUCAAAAUCACGCUGUGUUAUUCUUCUUUGGAACAUUCUGACGGUAGCAGAAGGGUUACUGUAUAAUAGUUUUGCAUUCUUUGUGUGCCUGGAAUUUUUCCCUGGUGGAUAUAGACAAUUGCCACAUGGAAUCCUGCAAGAGAGAGUGUUUUUCAUGGUCUUUGAGAAGGAAGAAAAUGUAUGAAUACGUUGCUUGGUUCUCCCUACUGCAUGCGUUACUUUGAUUUUUUUAUCUAAACCUUAUACCCAUUUGGCUCUGAUUUUGAUUCCGUAGAUUCAGGAUUUUUUUUACCUUCAGCUAAUCACCGUCAAACAACUAAGAUGCUGUUGGCUUCUUUCAUUCUUUCUUGCUUUUUAGUUUUGAUAGCAGCGGAUGAUUAAUUAGGCAAGUUUGCAAUAUCUUGUACUUGACUUACUGCACUUUUUUUGAUAUUGGCAGUCACGUCUCUGGUGUUUGAACUU